rnacentral:rRNA from 1 species
AUUGAACGCUGGCGGCAGGCUUAACACAUGCAAGUCGAGCGGGGUGAUGGUGCUUGCACUAUCACUUAGCGGCGGACGGGUGAGUAAUGCUUAGGAAUCUGCCUAUUAGUGGGGGACAACAUCUCGAAAGGGAUGCUAAUACCGCAUACGUCCUACGGGAGAAAGCAGGGGAUCACUUGUGACCUUGCGCUAAUAGAUGAGCCUAAGUCGGAUUAGCUAGUUGGUGGGGUAAAGGCCUACCAAGGCGACGAUCUGUAGCGGGUCUGAGAGGAUGAUCCGCCACACUGGGACUGAGACACGGCCCAGACUCCUACGGGAGGCAGCGGUGGGGAAUAUUGGACAAUGGGGGGAACCCUGAUCCAGCCAUGCCGCGUGUGUGGAGAAGGCCUUAUGGUUGUAAAGCACUUUAAGCGAGGAGGAGGCUCUUUUGGUUAAUACCCAAGAUGAGUGGACGUUACUCGCAGAAUAAGCACCGGCUAACUCUGUGCCAGCAGCCGCCGCGG